AUUAUACUCCCUCCAUUCAGAAAUACUUGUCCUUGAAAUGGUUGUAUCUAGACUUAUUUCAGUUAUAGAUACAUCCAUUUUAUCCAUUUUUAGGACAAGUAUUUCCGGACGAAGGGAGUAUGAG
rnacentral:pre_miRNA from 1 species